UGAGCCGGCUGGGUGGUCGCGGCCCGUCUCGGCAGAGGUAACCCUCCGUCGGGAAGGGUCGAGGAAGGUCGGGACUCCAUAGGGCAGGGUGCUGGCUAACGGCCAGUCGGGGUGACCUGCAGGAAAGUGCCACAGAGAACAGACCGCCGAUGGCGCUGCCCCCGGGUGGUGCACAGGUAAGGGUGAAACGGUGCGGUAAGAGCGCACCAGCGGCCGGGGUGACCCGGUCGGCUCGGUAAACCCCACCCGGAGCAAGGUUGCAAAGGGGGACGGACUGCCCGUCCGGUGUUCCCUCGGGGACACCACCCCCAGGUAGACCGCUCAGAUGGAUGGCCACCCAACCCUCGUCAGAGGGUGGACAGAAUCCCGCCUACAGGCCGGCUCACCGU
rnacentral:RNase_P_RNA from 1 species